AUCUUUCUGCAGAACUUAGGUUGAAGAUGCCAUUGGAGUCUACUCAUAUUUCCCAUCUCAAUUCAUCUAAAAAGAAUGGAAAAUCAGAGUGCGGUCUGUCGAAUUUUGGGACUACUAUCCCAAACAUAAACUUGAAGUUGUUCUCUGGAUGAAAGCUAUCCUUGUGGAUGAAAAGAUGUCAAUUGAAUUUUCUCAGCUUAGUUCUUCGAAAAACAAAUAAAAUCAAAGCAUUGUCAACAACAUUGAGGGCAAAAUAAAGGCUAGGUCAUCUUCAUACCACCGAAGAACGUGAAAAUGACAUUGGUAACUAG